rnacentral:rRNA from 1 species
ACAGAGGGUGCAAACGUUGCUCGGAAUCACUGGGCGUAAAGGGCGCGUAGGCGGACAAGUAAGUCGGGCGUGAAAUCCCUAGGCUCAACCUAGGAACUGCACUCGAAACUGCAUGUCUUGAGUACCGGAGAGGAAAGCGGAAUACCUGGUGUAGAGGUGAAAUUCGUAGAUAUCAGGUGGAACACCAGUGGCGAAGGCGGCUUUCUGGACGGUAACUGACGCUGAGGCGCGAAAGCGUGGGGAGCAAACAGGA